AAUCGCUAGUAAUCGCAGGUCAGCAUACUGCGGUGAAUACGUUCCCGGGCCUUGUACACACCGCCCGUCACACCAUGGAAGUUGGCCACGCCCGAAGCCGUUACUCCAACCCUUGUGGAGGAGGACGUCGAAGGUGGGGCUGAUGACUGGGGUGAAGUCGUAACAAGGUAUCCGUACCGGAAGGUGCGGAUGGAUCACCUCCUAA
rnacentral:rRNA from 1 species